rnacentral:rRNA from 1 species
GUAAUACAUCGGAACGUGUCCUGUAGUGGGGGAUAGCUCGGCGAAAGCCGGAUUAAUACCGGAUACGCUCUAACGGAGGAAAGCGGGGGAUCUUCGGACCUCGCGCUAAAGGGGCGGCGAUGGCAGAUUAGCUAGUUGGUGGGGUAAAGGCCUACCAGGGGAAGAUCUGGUACUGGUCUGAAAGACGACCAGCCACACUGGGACUGAACACGGGCCAGACUCCUACGGGAGGCAGCAGUGGGGAAUUUUGGACAAUGGGCGCAAGCCUGAUCCAGCAAUGCCGCGUGAGUGAAGAAGGCCUUCGGGUUGUAAAGCUCUUUUGUCAGGGAAGAAACGGUGGCCUCUAAUAUAGGCUGCUAAUGACGGUACCUGAAGAAUAAGCACCGGCUAACUACGUGCCAGCAGCCGCGGUAAUACGUAGGUGCAAGCGUUAAUCGGAAUUACUGGGCGUAAAGCGUGCGCAGGCGGUUUUGUAAGUCUGUCGUGAAAUCCCCGGGCUCAACCUGGGAAUGGCGAUGGAGACUGCAAGGUUAGAGUUUGGCAGAGG